rnacentral:rRNA from 1 species
UACGUAGGGUGCAAGCGUUGUCCGGAAUUAUUGGGCGUAAAGAGCUCGUAGGCGGUCUGUUGCGUCGGCUGUGAAAACCCGGGGCUCAACCCCGGGCCUGCAGCCGAUACGGGCAGACUAGAGUUCGGCAGGGGGGACUGGAAUUCCUGGUGUAGCGGUGAAAUGCGCAGAUAUCAGGAGGAACACCGGUGGCGAAGGCGGAUCUCUGGGCCUUACCUGACGCUCAGGUGCGAAAGCUAGGGGAGCGAACAGG